GAUGAACGCUGGCGGCGUGCCUAAUACAUGCAAGUCGAGCGAACAGACGAGGAGCUUGCUCCUCUGACGUUAGCGGCGGACGGGUGAGUAACACGUGGAUAACCUACCUAUCAGACUGGGAUCACUUCGGGAAACCGGAGCUAAUACCGGAUAAUAUAUUGAACCGCAUGGUUCAAUAGUGAAAGACGGUUUUGCUGUCACUUAUAGAUGGAUCCGCGCCGCAUUAGCUAGUUGGUAAGGUAACGGCUUACCAAGGCAACCAUGCGUAGCCGACCUGAGAGGGUGAUCGGCCACACGGGAACUGAGACACGGUCCAGACUCCUACGGGAGGCAGCAGUAGGGAAUCUUCCGCAAUGGGCGAAAGCCUGACGGAGCAACGCCGCGUGAGUGAUGAAGGUCUUCGGAGCGUAAAACUGUGUUAUUAGGGAAGAACAAAUGUGUAAGUAAAUAUGCACGUCUUGACGGUACCGAAUCAGAAAGCAACGGCUAACUACGUG
rnacentral:rRNA from 1 species